rnacentral:misc_RNA from 1 species
GAUGAAGAACGCAGCAAAAUGCGAUAAGUAAUGUGAAUUGCAGAAUUCAGUGAAUCAUCGAAUCUUUGAACGCACAUUGCGCCCGCCAGUAUUCUGGCGGGCAUGUCUGUUCGAGCGUCAUUUCAACCCUCAAGCACAGCUUGGUGUUGGGACUCGCGUUAAUUCGCGUUCCCCAAAUUGAUUGGCGGUCACGUCGAGCUUCCAUAGCGUAGUAGUAAAACCCUCGUUACUGGUAAUCGUCGCGGCCACGCCGUUAAACCCCAACUUCUGAAUGUUGACCUCGGAUCAGGUAGGAAUACCCGCUGAACUUAAGCAUAUCAAUAAACGGAGGA